rnacentral:rRNA from 1 species
GACGAACGCUGGCGGCGUGCUUAACACAUGCAAGUCGAACGGAAAGGCCCUGCUUUUGUGGGGUGCUCGAGUGGCGAACGGGUGAGUAACACGUGAGUAACCUGCCCUUGACUUUGGGAUAACUUCAGGAAACUGGGGCUAAUACCGGAUAGGAGCUCCUGCUGCAUGGUGGGGGUUGGAAAGUUUCGGCGGUUGGGGAUGGACUCGCGGCUUAUCAGCUUGUUGGUGGGGUAGUGGCUUACCAAGGCUUUGACGGGUAGCCGGCCUGAGAGGGUGACCGGCCACAUGGGGACGGAGAUACGGCCCAGACCCCUCCGGGGGGCAGCGGGGGGGAAUUUUGCACAAUGGGGGGAGGCCUGAUGCGGCAACCCCGGGGGGGGGAUGACGGCCUUCGGGUUGUAAACCGCUUUCGCCUGUGACGAAGCGUGGGUGACGGGAAUGGGAAAAGAAGCACCGGCUAACUACGU